rnacentral:rRNA from 1 species
GAUGAACGCUAGCGGCAGGCCUAACACAUGCAAGUCGAGGGGCAGCACAUAAAGUGGUUUACUACUUUUGGUGGCGACCGGCGGACGGGUGCGUAACGCGUAUGCAACCUGCCUCCAACAGGGGGAUAACGGAGAGAAAUUUCCACUAAUACCCCAUAAUAUCAGAAUCGGCAUCGGUUUUGGUUGAAAACUCCGGUGGUUGGAGAUGGGCAUGCGUUGUAUUAGAUAGUUGGUGAGGUAACGGCUCACCAAGUCAACGAUACAUAGGGGGACUAGGAGUUUAGCCCCCCACACUGGUACGGAGACACGGACCAGACUCCUACGGGCGGCAGCAGCGAGGAAUAUUGGUCAAUGGGGGCAACCCUGAACCAGCCAUGCCGCGUGAAGGAAGACGGCUCUAUGAGUCGUAAACUGCUUUUACAAGGGGAUAAAUCGGUGUACGUGUACACCGUUGAAGGUACCUUGGGAAUAAGGAUCGGCUAACUCCGUGCCAGCCGCCGCCGUAA